AACGAACGCUGGCGGCAUGCCUAACACAUGCAAGUCGAACGAGAUCUUCGGAUCUAGUGGCGCACGGGUGCGUAAUGCGUGGGAAUCUGCCAUUGGGUUUGGAAUAACAGUUAGAAAUGACUGCUAAUACCGGAUGAUGUCUUCGGACCAGAGAUUUAUCGCCAAGGGAUGAGCCCGCGUAGGAUUAGGUAGUUGGUGGGGUAGGAGCCUACCAAGCCGACGAUCCUUAUCUGGUGUGAGAGGAUGAUCAGCAACAAUGGGACGGAGACACGGCCCAGACUCCUACGGGAGGCAGCAGUGGGGAAUAUUGGACAAUGGGCGAAAGCCUGAUCCAGCAAUGCCGCGUGAGUUAUGAAGGCCUUAGGGUUGUAAAGCUCUUUUACCCGGGAUGAUAAUGGCAGUACCGGGAGAAUAAGCUCCGGCUAACUUCGUGCCAGCCGCCGCCGUAAAAC
rnacentral:rRNA from 1 species